UACGUAGGGGGCAAGCGUUGUCCGGAUUUAUUGGGCGUAAAGAGCGUGUAGGCGGCCAGAUAGGUCAGCUGUGAAAACUCAAGGCUCAACCUCGAGACGCCGGUUGAAACCAUCUGGCUAGAGUCCGGAAGAGGAGAGUGGAAUUCCUGGUGUAGCGGUGAAAUGCGCAGAUAUCAGGAAGAACACCCGUGGCUAAGGCGGCUCUCUAGUACGGUACUGACGCUGAGACGCGAAAGCGUGGGGAGCGAACAGG
rnacentral:rRNA from 1 species